AUACGAACCGUACGAACGUUAUUCGGAAUCACUGGGCUUAAAGAGUGCGUAGGCGGCUUGGUAAGUUGGGUGUGAAAUCCCUCGGCUCAACCGAGGAAUUGCGCCCAAUACUGCCUGGCUUGAGGGAGAUAGGGGUGAGCGGAACUAAUGGUGGAGCGGUGAAAUGCGUUGAUAUCAUUAGGAACACCGGAGGCGAAAGCGGCUCACUGGAUCUCUUCUGACGCUGAGGCACGAAAGCUAGGGGAGCGAACGGGAUUAGAAACCCCAGUAGUCC
rnacentral:rRNA from 1 species